rnacentral:rRNA from 1 species
UACGAAGGGGGCUAGCGUUGCUCGGAAUGACUGGGCGUAAAGGGCGCGUAGGCGGUUUGAACAGUUGGGCGUGAAAUUCCUGGGCUUAACCUGGGGACUGCGUUCAAUACGUUUAGACUUGAGUUCGGAAGAGGGUCGUGGAAUUCCCAGUGUAGAGGUGAAAUUCGUAGAUAUUGGGAAGAACACCGGUGGCGAAGGCGGCGACCUGGUCCGAAACUGACGCUGAGGCGCGAAAGCGUGGGAAGCAAACAGG